AUUGAACGCUGGCGGCAGGCCUAACACAUGCAAGUCGAACGAGUGGCGGACGGGUGAGUAAUGCUUGGGAAACUGGCCUAUGGAGGGGGAUAACGACGGGAAACAGUCGCUAAUACCGCGUACCAUAGGAUGUGCACAGGUGGGAUUAGGUAGUUGGUGGGGUAAUGGCGCACCAAGCCGACGAUCCCUAGCGGGUCUGAGAGGAUGACCAGCCAAACCGGGAUUGAGACACGGCCCGGACUCCUACGGGAGUCAGCAGUGGGGAAUAUUGCGCAAUGGGCGCAACCCUGAUGCAUCCAUGCCGCGUGAAUGAAGAAGGCCUUCGGGUUGUAAAGUACUUUCGGUGACGAGGCGUUACUCGCAGAAGAAGCACCGGCUAACUCCGUGCCAGCAGCCGCGGUAAUAC
rnacentral:rRNA from 1 species